rnacentral:rRNA from 1 species
GAUCAUGGCUCAGGAUGAACGCUAGCUACAGGCUUAACACAUGCAAGUCGAGGGGCAGCAUUGGAGUAGCAAUACUCAGAUGGCGACCGGCGCACGGGUGAGUAACACGUAUCCAACCUGCCGCUUACUCGGGGAUAGCCUUUCGAAAGAAAGAUUAAUACCCGAUGGUAUAAAGAGUUCGCAUGUUCUCUUUAUUAAAGAAUUUCGGUAAGCGAUGGGGAUGCGUUCCAUUAGAUAGUUGGCGGGGUAACGGCCCACCAAGUCUACGAUGGAUAGGGGUUCUGAGAGGAAGGUCCCCCACAUUGGAACUGAGACACGGUCCAAACUCCUACGGGAGGCAGCAGUGAGGAAUAUUGGUCAAUGGACGAGAGUCUGAACCAGCCAAAGUAGCGUGAAGGAUGACUGCCCUAUGGGUUGUAAACUUCUUUUAUAAGGGAAUAAAGUGAGGGACGUGUCCCUUUUUGUAUGUACCUUAUGAAUAAGGAUCGGCUAACUCCGUGCCAGCCGCCGC